AGUCACAGAAGAAAUACCGACAUUAGCUCUUUUCUUUAUCAAUAAUGUAAUCAUUUCAGUUAUUAGUCAGGCCAAAAAAAUUACAUUUUUUAAAUUCUGAAUUCUGGUUUGCAGAGUUCAGCUUCUCAGAAGAGGGCGAGGGCUGAGUGGAAUUCCAAACGACAUAUUCAUUAUUUACAUUCUUAUGAUUGUAUGCCUAAGGUGAUACUACUUUAGUGGUUUUUGUUUUUUGUUUUAGUGUAACGUGACCACCUUGGACUAAUGCCAAACUCGGGUGUUUUCUCGUGCUCGUCUUCUCAUUUGAGCGACGUUACGUUAAUGCAGCAUGAGCCUGGCGGUAACGUUUUUUGUUUGUUUUUUUGCUCAUACUAACUCUAAUAUCUAUAUAGCUGCGUGACGUAUGUUUAAAAAUGUUGGGCCAAGUAUGCUCCACGUUACUAAGUCACUGCUCUCACGUCUGUCGGGACGUGGGAAGCGGUAACGCGGUGUCAUAGAGCUACUUUGCUAGCUAGUUAGCAUCGAGCUGGCUAGUUAGCAUCGAGCUAGCUAGUGCAAAGCCUCUGCGGGGUCCCCGUGACCACCGGUAGUGAGGGAGCCGCCCCGGCCCCUGAUUGGAGGAGUGGCUGCCACGUGCACAUUUCUUUACUAUGUCCUCCUGAGCCACGCCGCCGGGACACGUUCAGUGUUCGGGGCUACCUGUCCGGAAGCGUCUCGUCGAGGUUUCGACUGCGCUGCCCACCAAGCUCCUGCAGAGUGAACAGAGGCCAGCCGCACACCUGUAACUUUUUUUUCUCCACGCAUUAAGUCGGGACUCUUUCUUUUAAAAAAAAAAAAAAAAACCCUCCACAAUGGCUUUGAGCUCCUUCGACAUCGACGCGCCGCGAUGGGAUCAGUCCACGUUCAUGGGCCGACUGAAACACUUCUUCAACAUCACCGACUGCCGAACGGCGCUCCUGCCUGACUCGCGCUUGGACGAGGCCAAAGCUUUAGUAGAAAGCUGCAGGGCGGGAUCACUGCCUCCCGGCACCACAGAGGAGCAGCUCCACUAUGCUAAGAAGCUGUACGACUCCGCCUUCCACCCGGACACAGGAGACCGCAUGAACAUCAUUGGCCGCAUGUCCUUCCAGGUGCCCGGAGGCAUGGCCAUCACCGGCUUCAUGCUGCAGUUCUACAGGACAGUUCCUGCCGUGGUGUUCUGGCAGUGGGUGAAUCAGUCCUUCAACGCUCUGGUCAACUAUACGAACCGUAACGCUGCGUCCCCAAUCACUCCCAAGCAGAUCGGAGUCGCCUACAUCACAGCAACCAGCACAGCGUUGGCAACAGCAGUCGGACUCAACCUCUACACAAAGACAGCUCCUCCUCUAGUGGCUCGCUGGGUUCCCUUUGCAGCGGUGGCAGCUGCCAACUGUGUUAAUAUUCCUAUGAUGAGGCAACAGGAAAUUCUGAACGGCAUCGCUGUCACAGAUGAAAAUGGGAACAAGCUGGGCCACUCUACGAAAGCAGCUGUGAAAGGCAUCACGCAGGUAGUCGUCUCUCGGAUCACCAUGGCCGCACCAGGAAUGAUUAUCCUCCCCAUCGUCAUGCAGAGGCUGGAGAAGCACAAGUUCAUGCAGAGAAUCACGUAUCUCCACGGACCAAUCCAAGUGAUGAUGGUGGGCGUGUUUUUAAUCUUCAUGGUGCCAGCUGCCUGCUCCCUGUUCCCUCAGAGAUGCUCCAUGGCUGUGUCGAAGCUGGAGCCCGAGCUGAGAGACUCCAUCGUGUCUCAGUACGGAGACAAAGUACAACAAGUCUACUUCAACAAAGGCCUCUGAGGCUGCGAGCACUGAUUACUGUCACCUCAGACUGUAUGUAUGUGUACGUCUUCAUUUUCCACUUCGUUAUUAUUAAAUUACGUAAUGCGGAUUUAGCUUUGACGUCCUCAAAUCGGUGCUUAACUGUGUGGGAACACGCUUUUGGAUUAUUUUGAUCAAUGGUGUCUUUCUUCAGGGUCUUUAAUCUCUAAUACUGUCCACUGAACACGGCAGAUAAAAGGGGGCGCAGUGUUCUCCUGUCAUGAAACCAAAUGAGGAACUUUGCUUUGCCUCAACAAAUCUCUGUGUUGGUUCAUCUGUCACAUUGCGACUCAUCUGUAAUGGUUUUCUUUGCUUUUUUUCUUUUUGUAGCAUCUGUAUGUCAACCCUCUUUACAGCCUGUGCCUUCUACAAAGUGGCAGAAGCAACAACACUGCUGGACCUUUUUUUUUUUUUUUUACUGAUACUGAACUGGCUUUACUGUGGAACUAAAGCAAUACUUCUGUGCAUGGGUUUAGUCUGGUGUGGUAGAGAAUGCUGCCCCCUUCUGCCAGAACAAAGGAACUGGAGAACCCGGCGCAAAAAAACCUGCACAACAUAAAUGAUCUCAAUGAGAGAGACAAAGGGAGAGAGGAAAAACAAACUAUUGUACUGGAGAGAGAAACAGAAAAUGACAUGUGGUUGUAACAUAAAUAGAUGAGGAAAAGUCGGAUGAGUUUCCGUUGUUUUGUUAUUAAGGGUCAUUUGGUUUCUCCUCCUGCACCUCAGGAUCAGGGAGGAACAUUCGUGAGGGACUGUAGCUUGUCAAGAUCACACAAAAAAUUCUUAAGGGUAGAAACAGGUUUUAAGAUUUCUGAAAGUUAUCGUGACAGGCCUUCUAAUUGCAUCUACUGAACUCAAAUAGUCUUUAAUAUUAAGCAGUGGGGGUUUUUUUCAGAUCGAUUUCAGUUAUUUAUAGUCAAUUACAAACCUGUGCUACAGGUGAAAGAGCCGGAGCUCUCUGAAGGCCCUGUGCGGAGGUGUGUCUGGGCAGUCUGGGAUCGGGAAGCGGGAUCCAUCCCGAUCCGGUGAACCCCCGUGCGGCCGUGAGCUUUUCCUCGUGAAGUCCUUAAAUAUGAAAGCUGAUGAUGUCACGAUGAUGGAUCAGAGUCCUGUGAAGUUGUCUUUGAUCUGAAGCAUUGCAUUUCAUUAAUGAUUGUUGCUGCAGCAUUAAUACUCCAACAAAAAAUGUUCUCCCAUUUGCAGUUAGACCUGUUGUCCUUGAACCAAUUUGAAUUUACUUCCCACAGAGGAGCUGAGCACAUUGAAUAAACACUGUAGCCAAUGACAUCAAAUUCGAGUGCAGCACGUCCAGAUGUGCCCUGGACAUUUGCAGAGUGUCAGGCUAUUAGAGUUUGUCCUCUGGAGGUCAUGAAUCAUGAUCACAGGGGCUUAUUUGCAGAAAAUUUACAUCUAAAUUCACACAUGACGUCGUUAAUGUAAAACACGAAUUAGCAACUCAAACUUCACAUUGCAACAAUUCGCAGUAGACAAACGCAUUUUGAGUAGAAGCAAAUGGCAGAAGAAUAGAAAGUAGAAAAGCAAGUCAUGCUGCCAAUUUAUCAUUCCAAAAUUUCAGGAAUGUUUGUAUGUAUGUAUGUCUGUCGAGAGCUCAUGAGGGCUGAUGAUGUCUGAAGCCAUUAAGACAGACAGAAGUUAAACUACUAAAUGAAUGUGAUGGUAGAGACGGAAUACUUUGAGUCAAAGUUGAACAGAUUAACAGUUUGAAAGUUGGGAUCUUGUUUGGACUGAUGGAAAGCCUGCUGAGAUUUUAAGCAUGUCUUCAAAACUUGACUAAAAAUACAAAUUGUAUUUCAUAAAGGAAAAUUACUAUAUGUAAUUAUGUGUAUAUAAAUAUAGAAAUGGGUAUAGGUCCUUUUAACUGACCACAAAAAAGUACUAAAAAGAACUUUAAGCAGAUAUUUGAAUUGUAAUACUUUAAUUCAAUUUAAAUGUAAUCAAAAUAAAGAUUAUUAUUUUAAUAUACAAGGAAACUGGAGAACUCAGCAAAAACCUGAGCCACCUCAUCACAACAUACACUAUCUCAAGGCACGUUAGGUUGAGCCCUUACAAUAUUACAGAGAAACCCAACAGUUCCCACAAUGAGCGAGCUCUCGGCGACCGUGGAGAGAGAAAAAAAUCCCCUUUAACUGGAAGAAACCUCUCGCAGAGCCAGACUCGGUUGUAGGUGAGAAGAGAAAUGGGGGAGAUGAGAAGAAGGGGGAGAGAGGAGGGACCAGGAACUGUUGUGUAACUGUCGUCUUUAAGCAAUGUCAGCCUCAUUCUCAUGAUGGCAAUAAUGAUACUGACACGUAUAGAUGUAAUGAUGUUGUUAAUGAUAAUGAUGUCCAGUUAAUAAUAGCGUUACUUUUAAUAAUAAUGCUGGUAUUAUUGUUAUUAUUGAUAAUAAUAAUAUUAAUCAUAUAAAAAUAAUUUAAUUUUAAUAGAUUUUUUUUUUAUUUUGUGAGAUCACCACAACAUAAAUUAUCUAAAGGCACCUCUGGAGUCAGUAAUGAGGACAGCGAGAGACAGAGAGAGAUGGUGGCAAAACCAAACAGUUGCAGAGAGAAAACACAAAGUUAGUUACAUGUAGUGGAGACAACAAUACAUGGGGAAAUUGAGUUUCAGUUGUUUUGUUGCCAAGGGUCAUUUGGUUUCCUCCAUCUCUGUGGUUUCUUCAGACCCUGAAAGUGUCGGAUUCUGUUCCAGGUUAAAGCCUGUGGCUUUUUGUGGAUCUCCUCCUGCACCUCAGUCUCCAUGGGUUUGGGAUCAGGGGAAAUGUCCGUGAGGUACUGCAGCUUGUCAAGAUCACGCAAAAGCUUCUCAAGGGUAGAAACAGGCUUUAAGAUUUCUGCUAUGACAUUCAUCCCUAGCACACCAUGUUGGGUGCUACAACAGUCCUCAUCCUGAACUAUCAACACUGCUUUCCCUAUAAUUUCAAAGCCUCCAUUCUGAAAAUCUAGCACUACAUACCCUUGGUAUGGGACUUCGAGUCCAUUGGCUGCUUUAAUUUUAAGCCAGGGUAUUUUAGUUUUGUCUCUCAUUUGAAUAUCCUUAAAGCUGUUUUGGAAAAGGGAGUAGCUAAGAAGAGUGACCCUAGAACCUGUAUCCAACUUGAAUAGGAUUUUAACCCCAUUUACCACCAUUUCCACCAUUGUAUAGGGACCUACAAAAGAGGACUUAUCAGGGACAUCCUUUACAUCACCGGAUAGUCGGCCUGCAGUGGCCGGGGACGUGGAAAACCUACCAGUUUUAGGUUUGGGAUCAGUGAGAGCAUCUUGCAGCUUGUCAAGCUCAGACUCAAAGUUGUCAAAACUAGCAACAGACUUCCAGAUUUCUGAUAUGACAUUCGUCCCCAGCAAUCCAUAUUGGGUUCCAAAGUAGUCAUCCUUAACUAUCAAGACUCCUUUCCCCAUAAUUUCAAUGUCUCCAGCCUGAAAAUCUAGCUCUAGAUACCCUUUGAAUGGGAAACGGAGCCCAUUGCCUCCUCUAAUUUUGAGCCAGGGUAUUUCAGUUGUGUCUCUCAUUUGAAUAUCGCUAAAGCUUUUUAGAAAAAGGGAAUGGCUAAGAAGAGUUACUUUAGCACCUGUAUCCAGCACAAAUGGGAUUUUUACCCCAUUUACCACCAUCUCCAGGCACGGACUGCUGCGUGUAAAAGAGGACUUAUCAGGGACAUCCUGCACAUUACUGGUCAGUUGUCCUGCAGUGGCUGGGGAGGUAGAAAACCCACAGGGUUGGCACAUCAUCGAGGGCAGGUUGUCAACCUGCUGUCUAAUGGGAAGCCUAUCAGCUCCAAAGCUUUGGCUGUCCUCUUGGUAUGAGGUGCUUCUGGAUGCAGGGUACUUUGGCUUCUCCCAUAUCUGUGGUUUAUUCAGCUCGUGAAAGUGUUGGUCUCUUUCCCUUUGCUUCAUAGGAAUUUCCUCAGACACCUCAUCCUGAAUAGGUUUGGGAUCAGGGGAAGCAUUUGUGAGGAUCUGCAGCUUCUCAAAAUGAUGCUGUAGGUCAACAGCCAACUGCCUCACUCUGAGCAUGUCAGCUUCAUACCUUUGGAUGUCCUCUUCGUAUGAGGUGGCGAUGGGUGCAGGGUCCUUUGGCUUCUCCCAUCUUUGUGAUUUAUUCAGCUCCUGAAUGUGUUGGACUCUUUCCCGUGUUGAAGCCUUUUGCCCUGUGGGGCUAUGCCCCGACAGCUCAUUGUGCAUAGGUUUGGGAUCUGGGGAAACAUUUGUGAGGUUCUGCAGCUUCUCAAAAUUAUGCUGUAGGUCGACAGCCAACUGCCUCACUGUGAGCAUGUCAGCUUCAUAUCUUUGGAUGUCCUCUUCAUAUGAAGUCCUGACUUUAUCCAGUUCUUCUUGGAGAAUCUUUGUUUUCUCCCUCCCCACCUGAAACUCCUCUGCCAUCAUUUGACUGAGGGCGUCCUCUUUAGCCUUCAGGUUUUUCAACAACAGCUGGUCUUGCGACACACUGUCUGUAUGAGAUUUGCUUUCACUGUCAAGUCCGCGCUGAAUUUCAUCAGUUGCAUAUAAUUGACUUUUAUGAACACAGCUCAUCAAAAGUCCCUUAUGCGGUUCAUCUGAACCUUUGUCCUCUUUACUGUUUUUCCUUCUUUUGGGCAUGGUGGAGAAUGUGGUGGUAGUAUAAGGAUUUAAGUAACCUAGAUGUGGUAAGUUGGUAGUCGGUGAGCUGACGUUGUCCAAAGUGUUUUCUUCCUCACUUAUUUUGUCACUUGGUUGAAAGGUUUAAAAUGAUUUUACUGGAGGGCUGGAGUCGUAGAUAUACAUGAGAGCCGAUGAUGGAUGUUAUCCCUUUGAAGUUGUCUUUGAUCUUUAAGAUUCCAUUUCUUCUUCUACUGUUUUUUUCUGCGUGUUUACUAUCUAAAUCAUAAUAUGACAUUUCAAAUGUAAACAUUCAAAUGUAAAAUGUGAGGACCUGCCUCACUCUCAAUACUGAAAACUGGUUCAAACCUGUAAUUGUGAUAAAGCCCAUCAGCUGUUUUAAUUUUUUAAUCUUUUAUUUCGGUUCUGAAUCUCAUUUGAAUAUCCGUAAAGCUUUCAUGGAAAAGAGAGUGGCUAAGAAGAGUUACUUUAGCACCUGUAUCCAGUAUGAAGGGGAUUUUAACCCAAUUAACCACCAUUUCCAGGUGUGGACAUUAGCCUAAAAAGAGGGCUCAUCAGGGACAUCACCAGUUAUCCUCCUCCAGGAUGAAUCAUUUUGCUUUGUGAGGAUCGCCUCAGGUUCCUCAGUCUCCAUGGGUUUGGGAUCGGGGAGGGCAUUCGUAAAGGACUGCAGCUUGUCAAGCUCACGCUCAGGGUUGUCAACACUAGGAACAUACUUCAAGGUUUCUGAUAUGACAUUGAUCCCAACACUCCUUUUCCCAUAAUCUCAACAUCUCCAGCUUGAAAAUCUAGCACUACAUACCCUUGGUAUGGGACUGUGAGCCCUAUCAUUUUAAGCCAGGAUAUUUUAAGUUGUGUCUCUCAUUUGAAUAUCGUUAUAGCUUUUUCAAACAAGAGAAAGGCUAAGAAAAGUUACUGGAGAACCUCUAUCCAGCACAAAUGGGACAUUAACCAUAACUUAGCACCAUUUACAGGUGUGGACAAUAGUGUCUGAAAGAGGUCAUUCCAUUGCAUUGGCCAGGGAGGUCAAAAGCCUGCCGAGUUGGCACGUCAUCGUGGGCAUGUUGUCAGUCCACUGCCUCAUCGUGAGCCUUUCAGCUUCGUACCUUUUGCUGUCCUCUUGGUAUGAGGUGCUGCUGGGUGCAGGGUCCUUUGGCUUCUCCCAUCUCUGUGGUUUCCUCCAUCCCAGAAAGUGUUGGACUCUUUCCCAGGUUGAGGCCUUUUGCUUUGUGGGAACCUCCUCAGACACCACAUUCUGCAUGGGUUUGGGAUCAGGGGAAGCAUUUUUGUGAGGAUUUGCAGCUUCUCAAAAAGAUGCUGUAGGUCAACUUCCUCACUGUGAGCAUGUUAGCUUCAGACCUGAUCCAGUUCUUUUUGGAGAAUCUGUUUUCUCCCUUUCCCCACCUGAAUCUCCUCUGUCAUCUUUUGACAGGCAGUAUCCUGCUCAGCCCUCAGGUUUUGCAGCAAGAGCUGGUUCUGUGACACACUGUCUGCAUGACACUUGCUUUCACUGUCAAGUUCACGCUGAAUUUGAUCAGUUGCAUAUAAUUGAGUUUUAUGAAGACAGUUCAUCGAAAGUCCCUCAUGUGGCUCAUCUGAACCAUUGUCCUCUUUCCAGUUGAUCCAUUCUUUUGUGCACAAUGUAGAAAUUCCUGGUAAUUUCAGGAUUUAAGUAACCUAUAUAAGUUGGUAGUCCCUGAGCAGAUGUUGUCUUAUUGGAUCCAACGAUUUUUCUUCCUCACAAUGUUUGUCCCUAGGUUGAAGGGUUGAAAUGAUUUUACUGGAGAGCUGGAGUCCUAUAUACACAUGAGAGCUGAUGAUGUCACGGUGAUGGAUGGAAUCCCUUUGAAGUUGGCUUUGAUCUUAAGGUUUCCAUUUCUUUUUCUACUCUUUUUUCAGUGUUUACUAUUGAAAUCACAGACUGAGAUUCAAAUGUAAAAUGUAAAGAGCGGCCCACUUUCAAAACUGAAAACAGGUUUAAAACCUGUUAUUUGAUCACAAAUCGACUAACGGGCCAAACAACUUCCCCUUUCCUUUACAACCUUUGCCUAACACCCAGCAGGUCAGUUGGUAUGUUUGCCUUGAGAUCCAGAGACCAGACUGGAAACUAAAGGGGACCAAUCCGGUCGGGGCCCUGAAGGUCAGAAACGUCUUACCCAAGGAAAUUAGGCUGUCAGAGUCAAAGCAGACUUUUAAAUUUCUCUAUUAUUCUAAUUAUUUAAAGCCCCAGUGUGCAAUUUUUGGUUCUCUUCUUGCAAACUGCAACUGACCGAGCACCCGACAGGGACACUAUAUGGUGGCGCACCGCUAAUUCCAGCGCUGAAAAUUCAAUGUGAAUGCGACAUAUUCUGGACCGUUUUGUGCAACAAGCAUAUACAACACGACGUAGCAAACAUGGCGACUCACACGGAGGUCGGUCCACUUCAUGUAACUAUAUUUAACUCAUUCAAAAUUGACGAAGAACAACAGUUCUUUGUCGCAGGUGAUUAUACAUAUAUGACCAAAGUUAUAGCAACAAUAUUUUCAAUUUCUGUGAAUAAGUUAUUCUAAAUAUUACACACUGUAGCUUUAACUGUUUGUUUCAUUGAUUUGUUAUCUUUCUUAUUGUGAAGCCUGUGUAACUGUGAUUUGUGCUAUAUAAAUAAAUGUAUUCUGAUUAUUAUCAUCAUUAUUAUUAAUACUACAGAAAACAAAGAGCCUCCACAAAUAAAAACAAAAGCAGUCUACCAGAGGUAGGCCUGUCACCAUAAUUACGUUAUCGACUUAUCGUAUGAUACAUGAUGAUGAACUCAAUCAUUUUUCUUUACCUCGAUAACAGCCAUUGUGUCUACAUGCGUGUUUGUUGACAUAAGACAUAAGAAUGAAUGUCAACUUCUCAUCGUAUGAUUAGUCAAUUACUAAUAAAAUGUCCGAAAAUAAAUGAUUUCUUAAUAUUUUUUUAAGUCACUUUUCAAAACCGAUUUCCAUAGACUUGCUCUUAUGUGAUGUCGUCAUUUUAUAUAUUUUUUAUACAGAUAUUUGACCUGAAAAUGAUUACCUGGCUGGUAACUGUAUUAUUGUUGGAAUGCUGAUUUUAAUUAUCUGUGAUUUGUAUGUUUUUGUGAAGACACUUUGUGAAGCUACUUCUGAAAGUUGCCGUAUAAAUAAACGUAUUAUUAUUAUUAUUAUUAUUAUUAUUAUUAUUAUAAGAUGAUUCAUCCUCGUGGCCCCGUGGCCCUCAGAUCUCCGGUUGUUCCAGCCCGACAGCGGAAGGAGGACGCAGCGCCCUCUGCCGGUUCAGGCCGUCACCGCCGGUGGGAGGAGUCGCCGCUGGCAGCUUUUAUAAAAUCCAGCUCGACCCCAACGAGGAAACACAUUCUGAACAGACAGACGCAGCAGCUGACUCUGUCCGGGACGUUUCCGGGGCCCUCCGUACAUCGCCGUGUAACCUCACCCCUGCGCACCGGAGCGGACCGAGCGCACGGUCCGGUGGUGGUGGUGUUGUUGUUGUUGUUGUUGUUGUUGUUGUUGUUGACGUCGUCAGGUCUCUGUCGGUAAAGAAAAAAAAAAAAAAAAAAGGUGGGGGAAGCAGUUGCCUGCCGCUGGAUCUUGACUGCAACGUAUCUGCGCACGAAGGGGCUGGACGGAAAAGAGGAAGAGAAAAAAAAAACCCUCGCACCACAUCAGUGUUUCAACCAAAAUGCCGUUUUCCG